UGUCGUACCCCCGGGUCGGGCUUUUCUGCGGCGUCUCAUUGAUUUAACGAAAGGUGUUAAUGCCCCCCCCCCCCCUUUUUAUCGUAUUCGUCUAACAAGGUCCGUUCAGGUCUGAUUCCGCGGCGGGCGGGGUGCGGAAAAUUUCGAGCGAAAACACUUGUGCGAAAAUUUUCUCUCGUAGCGAUUUCCACACUUGGAGAAAAAGAUUGGUUUCGCUAUUUCUAUUUCGCAACGGAGUAGAAACGACUUCAACUACCCGGCGAAGAGAAAUAUUUCUCAGAGAAACAUUCCAAAAUCAUGUUGCGCAUGCGUUCAACCUUUUCGCGCGGGGUUUUUCGCGUUUCGCUCGUCGUGGAAUUGGGCCUUUAAAGCAGAUUUAGGAAAUCCUUUCUGGAUGAUUUCGAUGGCCGGUCGUUUUUUCGUUCUGACGAUUGAAUUUGUAUACUAAUGCCGCUGCGGGUCAUGGCUUUGGCGCUAUAUUUCUCAACUUUUGGUUUUAUGGGCCUUGGCCUGAGGAAUGGAAAAAACUCGACAUUGUUGUUUUGGAGGUUUUUUUUCCAAUUGUCCUCAGUGUCAUCUUAUGGGGUCAUCUCAUGCAAAACCAACGCAUACUAUGGUCGAGAUCAUAAUAAAACUACUUCACGGGAUCCCAUUGUGAUGAUAUUUGUCCGUCGGCUGGUUCUAGCUUGCUUGAAAUUUAACAUUUUAUUUCGUGCCAAGCAUGUUCCAGGUGCCAAAAGUACUUUGGUUGGUGCUUUGUCACGUUUACAGGUUUCGAAAUUCCGCGAGCUGGCGCCGGCGGGCGUGCAGAUUUAUCCCUCUGUGAUUCCCGCCCAGCUUCUUCCACACAGUUGGCAGAUAUAACUUCUACUCGGCUACGAGCGAGUUUGCAGCCACCGUCAGUUCCGCCGUUCCCCGCGCUUUAUUUACUAAGUUUUUAUCAAUGCUUUUUCGCGGCUGUGGUCUUGAUACCAUGAAGUAUAAAGGCCACCGUUUCCGUAUUGGCACAGCCACUUUUGCGGCAGAGUGCGGUUUUUCUGAUGCCCAAAUUCGUGUUAUGGGGCGCUGGCGAUCCGAUGCAUUCCUCAAGUAUAUUCGCAUACCAAGCUUAAGUUCGUCUUCGUCGUAAUUGCGACUGACUGUGGCUGCAUUCUUGUAUUGUAAGGCAAACGGUUAGUAGCAGGCCACAAAUAUAUGUCUAGUUAAUGAAUAGCACAUUUAACGCAGGAUA